GACGAACGCUGGCGGCGUGCUUAACACAUGCAAGUCGAACGGAAAGGCCCUGCUUUUGUGGGGUGCUCGAGUGGCGAACGGGUGAGUAACACGUGAGUAACCUGCCCUUGACUUUGGGAUAACUUCAGGAAACUGGGGCUAAUACCGGAUAGGAUCUCCUGCUGCAUGGUGGGGGUUGGAAAUUUUCGGCGGUUGGGGAUGGACUCGCGGCUUAUCAGCUUGUUGGUGGGGUAGUGGCUUACCAAGGCUUUGACGGGUAGCCGGCCUGGGAGGGUGACCGGCCACAUUGGGACUGAGAUACGGCCCAGAGUCCUACGGGAGGCAGCAGUGGGGAAUAUUGCACAAUGGGCGGAAGCCUGAUGCAGCAACGCCGCGUGCGGGAUGACGGCCUGCGGGUUGAAAACCGCUUUCGCCUGUGACGAAGCGUGAGUGACGGUAAUGGGUAAAGAAGCACCGGCUAACUACGUG
rnacentral:rRNA from 1 species